CACGUAGGGUGCGAGCGUUGUCCGGAAUUAUUGGGCGUAAAGAGCUCGUAGGCGGUGUGUCGUGUCGGCCGUGAAAACCUGCAGCUUAACUGUGGGCUUGCGGUCGAUACGGGCAUCACUGGAGUUCGGCAGGGGAGACUGGAAUUCCUGGUGUAGCGGUGAAAUGCGCAGAUAUCAGGAGGAACACCGGUGGCGAAGGCGGGUCUCUGGGCCGAUACUGACGCUGAGGAGCGAAAGCGUGGGGAGCAAACAGG
rnacentral:rRNA from 1 species